ACCAGAAGUAGCUAGCCUAACUGCAAAGAGGGCGGUUACCACGGUGUGGCCGAUGACUGGGGUGAAGUCGUAACAAGGUAGCCGUAGGGGAACCUGCGGCUGGAUCACCUCCUUAACGAA
rnacentral:rRNA from 1 species